ensembl:lncRNA
CGGAUUCCUGCGAGACCUUGUGCUGCUUGCCCACGCCAUUAAAAGAGAGCAUUCUAACCUUUGCCUUUUUGUUGUGAAUGCAGACCAGAGAAGACACUACACAGAGGUCACAUUGGUGCCGUGACUCGUUCAUGACGCUGCUGGAUCGGGCUGGUGUCUUCUCGUCGCAGCAUCAUCUUGGAGCAUCGGCUUCCCUAUUGUUUAGACUGUUGGGUAACGGAAUCAAACUUUGGGGACUGUUGGAUAUACUUUCAUAUUGGCUUUGUAUAUUGCCGUAUUGUAUUAAGCCGGUCUUAGCUCUUUUCAUAUCCUGCUAGAUAUGGAUCUGAGUGACUCUGAUGACACCCCAAAUGUGACUCCCCUUGGUGUGGGUAGGGGUAGAGGGUUCACAACUGUUCCUUUUUCACUGGGUGACUGUCGGGUGGGGCAAAGAGAAGCAGAUAGUUCUUGUGGGCUUGUGGCUGAGUCGCAGUCAGUACAGUACACUAAGGCAUCUACCUCAGACCCCCCAAUAACUGAUGUGAGUCUAGUCGACCAAAUGAACGACAUUGUGCAGCAAAUUGGGCAACGCCUGGCUGAUAGCAUUCUGUCACACCUGACUCUGCCACACACUUCCAGCCCUGCAUCUGCUACAUAUACAUGUCCUGAGGGGGCGCAUGAAACAACGGAUCUCCCCUCCAGCCGCUCAUUGGACCUCUCUCAAGUCCAGCUGGUGGCUCCACGACAGGUUAAAGACCCACCUGUGUUUCGGGGGGAGAGUUCGGACUCAUUGUCUGUUGAUGAGUGGCAGGAAGCCAUGCAGAGUUACAUAAAGAAGAGUGGCAUUGUCCCAGAAAACCAAGCUGAGGAGAUUUUGAUGCAUCUGAGAGGCAGGGCAAAAGAUGUUGUGAAAUUUGGUGUGAGGAAUGGUGGAAUUGAUGUCCAGCAUAAUCCACAAGCUAUCUACAGACUUCUGCACAAACAUUUUAGUUCCACCCAGUGCUCAUCUGUGCCUCUGGCUGACUUUUAUUCCACCCUGCCGAAGGACCGGGAGGAUCCAUAUGAGUAUUGGCUGAGGCUGAACAAGGCUGCUGAUGUUGUUGGCAACUGUCUUAAGGAGCAGGGGAAAUCUUUUGAGAACUCUGGUGUGGAGGUUGCACGCAUGUUCAUCAGACACUGCCCCUGCAGAGACUUGGCUCUUAUUUUUAGAACCAAAACAUGUGAUAAAUGGUCAGCUCGUGAAGUUCAGGAGGUGCUGGAUGAGUAUCACCUGGGAAAGGGGUUCCAGUCUCCUCCACAGAAGGGUAACUGUGUCUAUGUGAGUAAAGCAGAGGUUAGCACUAAUGCUGCUCCUUGCUUGGCUGACCAUGAGCAGAGACCAGCUGUGAGUCAGGAUGGCCCUGCUAUUGAGAGGUUGAUCAGCAUGCUAGAGAAGGUGCUGCUUCAAGGCCCAGGCUAUGCUCGGGCUAAUGCCAGGCGACAGAGUGCCCGACUUCCGAGAAUACCGGGCUUGGAUGACACACCAUGUUCCAUCUGCAGAGAUGGCUCCCACUCCACACUCACGCACUGUCGGGAGAACAGAUUGUGCUUCCUGUGUCACCUACCUGGUCAUUCAAGACGUAACUGCCCGGAGGGCAAGUGUCCUCCUUCCAAUGGUCAUCAGGGAAACUGAAUGAUCUGCGUGGAGGGGAGGACAGCGCAGAUCCAGCAAGUAAGCCUCCCACCUUGGACAUGUCUGAUAUUAAUGAUUAUGACACUUUGUAUUCCACUUACAGUGGUAUCGUCCCACCAAAUAAAACACUGGUUGCACAGGGCUUGCAUAGGCUCUCAAACACUGAUAGCUUAUUCUACUCUGCAGUGACUACUAGUAGUGGACAAGUUCUUAAAGCAUUAGUGGACAGUGGAUCUAUGGCGUGCACCAUAAGUGAGACAGUGGAUGAGAAACUUUCGCAAUCAAUACCUGAUAUUGAGAGACGUUCAGCUGAAGACAUUGUCAUUGUUGGUUGUGGGGGUCACCUUGUUACGCCUUCUGCUAUGUAUGAUCUUACAGUAUCAAUAUAUGGCUUUAAGGUGGUGAUUCCCGUUCUGGUGGUUCCGGGUCAGGCUGAUGACAUGAUUCUGGGCAGCAAUGCGAUAAAGUGGCUUAUUUCGCAGUUAAAAAUGACUGUUGGUACCCAGGAUGAUGCUUUUCCUCAUUUGGCAACUUUGCUAUCCUAUUCUGAUGACUGUAGUGGCAGAGCAAUGCCUCCAAGUUUUGGCACUGCAAAGCUUAAGAGACGCGUCACCUUGCAGCCCUUGUCUGAACAUUUAGUGUGGGCUAAGCUGCCUGCUCCUGAUGCUUCAGCGGUGGGGAGUGCUGUCAUUAUUGAACCCACUCAGUCUCGAUCCAAACCUGCACAAAUCCUAGUGGGGCGAGUUGUCACUUCCUUGUUUGGGGAUGGCUGGGUCCCUGUUAAAGUGGUGAAUCCCUCCGAGAAGCCCCUCACUCUCAGGAGAAAUGCUAAGGUUGCUGAUGUGUCCCCCUGUCUUUCUGUGCAGGACUUACCUGAACCUGUUCAAAUUCGAUCCAGUACACAAUACACACAGAACUCGUCG